rnacentral:lncRNA from 1 species
AAUUUGGGGACAAGAUAAUUUGUGAGUUAUAUGGGAUGGGAUAGGGAUAAAAUGCACAACCAAAGUUUUCAGAAAUUUAUAAUUUGGUAGUUGUUUAAAGAGGAGAAAUUACAGUGAAGCGUAAUUAAGAAAAAUAUAGCUUGUUUUUGAGUUAGGCUGCUGUAAUAAAUUAAAUGCAUGAUGGUAAAUGGUUAGCAUGAGCAAGUAAGGUCAGACCAGCUUGCUUGAUGUGCCUGUGUUUUUCUUUCUACUGAUACAUUUUGACGGUGAGUAUGUGGGCACGUUUAUAAACAAUUCCCUAUUUGACUGAAGUGUUAGCAGCCAACACUCGGUGGGAUUUAGUCCCACAUCGGAUAGAUAGGAUUCUUGAUAAGAGUUUAUAAAGAGGAGGCAAUCCUCACCUUACAAGCCGGUUUUGUAAGGAUGAGUUAGGCCUCGAUAUUCGUAACAUGGUAUCAGAGCCUUUCGGGGUCCAUCGUUGGGUUUCCUCUAUCGGCCACGCUUCAGGCCCAUUCGCCCGGCUGAAGCGUGAGGGAGGGUGUUAGCAGCCAACACUCGGUGGGAUUUAGUCGGAUAGAUAGGAUUCUUGAUAAGAGUUUAUAAAGAGGAGGCAAUCCUCACCUUACAAGCCGGUUUUGUAAGGAUGAGUUAGGCCUCAAUAUUCGUGACAUGAAGAAAAUUGUCCUUCCGAAUCAAUUUGAUCAACUGUAAUGUCAGAGGUAAACUGUAGUUAGUUCAACCAUAGAAUCAUUGAGCAACUCAGUAGAUCAGAUUUGAUUAGCUCUUCCAUUAUUUUACUUAUUUUUAUUUUAUAUAGCUUAAUACUCAUGUCCACUACAUAUGGCUACAAAUGUUUGUUUUGCAAAGUUGUAUGUGCUCUAAUUUAGUUAGUUACACACCAGUUUUAACUUUUAACCGGUUAUAUUCCUUGACUUUUCCCCGUUUUAAAUUGGUAUACAGAAUAUGAAGCCAAAUGGAAUCACCUUGGAAAAGGCCCUUGAACUUUUAUCAGGUAAAAAUGUGAGAAGUCGAGGUCGGCCCGGACGCAAACCUAAAGUUGAAGAUGUUGAAGCUAUUGAAGCUUUCUAAGAUUUUGACCUGGGUACUUAGCAUGAAUGCAGAGUUUUCACCUGAUUAAUAUUAACUUAUGCAAUAAGCAAUUACCUAAG